GAUGAACGCUAGCUACAGGCUUAACACAUGCAAGUCGAGGGGAAACGACAUCGAAAGCUUGCUUUUGAUGGGCGUCGACCGGCGCACGGGUGAGUAACGCGUAUCCAACCUGCCCAUCACUUGGGAAUAACCUUGCGAAAGUAAGACUAAUACCCAAUGAUAUCCCACGAAGGCAUCGGAAUGGGAUUAAAGAUUUAUCGGUGAUGGAUGGGGAUGCAUCUGAUUAGCUUGUUGGCGGGGUAACGGCCCACCAAGGCAACGAUCAGUAGGGGUUCUGAGAGGAAGGUCCCCCACAUUGGAACUGAGACACGGUCCAAACUCCUACGGGAGGCAGCAGUGAGGAAUAUUGGUCAAUGGGCGAGAGCCUGAACCAGCCAAGUAGCGUGCAGGAAGACGGCCCUAUGGGUUGUAAACUGCUUUUAGAAGGGAAUAAAGUGGGUCACGUGUGACUUUUUGCAUGUACCUUAUGAAUAAGGACCGGCUAAUUCCGUG
rnacentral:rRNA from 1 species